rnacentral:rRNA from 1 species
UACGAAGGGGGCUAGCGUUGUUCGGAGUUACUGGGCGUAAAGGGCGCGUAGGCGGCGCACCAAGUCAGGCGUGAAAGCCCUGGGCUCAACCCGGGAAUUGCGCUUGAGACUGGUGUGCUUGAGUACGGGAGAGGAUAGUGGAAUUCCCAGUGUAGAGGUGAAAUUCGUAGAUAUCAAGUGGAACACCAGUGGCGAAGGCGAGUCCCUGGAAAACUCCUGACACUGAGGCACGAAAGCUAGGGGAGCAAACAGG